rnacentral:rRNA from 1 species
GAUUAUCAACUUUCGAUGGUAGGAUAGAGGCCUACCAUGGUGGUAACGGGUAACGGGGUGUUAGGGCACGACACCGGAGAGGGAGCCUGAGAAACGGCUACCACAUCCAAGGAUGGCAGCAGGCGCGCAAAUUACCCAAUCCCGACACGGGGAGGUAGUGACAAUAAAUAACAAUACGGGGUUCUUUCGGAUUUCGUAAUUGGAAUGAGUACAAUUUAAAUCUCUUAACGAGGAACAAUUGGAGGGCAAGUCUGGUGCCAGCAGCCGCGGUAAUUCCAGCUCCAAUAGCGUAUAUUAAAGUUGCUGCAGUUAAAAAGCUCGUAGUUGAAUUUCGGGAUCAAUAUGUUGGUCGUGCCUCGGUACGUACUAGCUUAUUGGUUUCUCCCUUCUGACGAACCAUGAUGUCAUUUAUUUGGUGUUAUGAGGAAUCAGGACUGUUACUUUGAAAAAAUUAGAGUGUUUAAAGCAGGCUCACGCUUGAAUACAUUAGCAUGGAAUAAUGAAAUAGGACGUUUGAUUCUAUUUUGUUGGUUUCUAGGAUCGACGUAAUGAUUAAUAGGGAUAGUUGGGGGCAUUAGUAUUCAAUUGUCAGAGGUGAAAUUCUUGGAUUUAUUGAAGACUAACUACUGCGAAAGCAUUUGCCAAGGAUGUUUUCAUUAAUCAAGAACGAAAGUUAGGGGAUCGAAGACGAUCAGAUACCGUCGUAGUCUUAACCAUAAACUAUGCCGACUAGGGAUCGGAUGAUGUUAAUUUUUAUGACUCAUUCGGCGCCUUACGGGAAACCAAAGUGUUUGGGUU